AGCGGCGAGGCCCACCGGUGCCUCCUGUCCCCUCACUGCAGGAGGGAAGGCGGGGCUGAGAGGGACCAGGGCUCCCAAGGUCACACAGCCCCAGGGCCAGCACCGGCCCUGCAGCCCAGCUCCUGUGCUCCGAGCUCACGGCCAACACGGGUCUCCCUCCGCAGCGGUCUGUGGGACCUCCGGGAGCGGAUGGUAGCCGGAGGCAGCCACGCGCUCCAGCUCCAGAGCUCCCGUGCGGUUCUUCGUUGUGCGUCCGCGUCUCCGCUGAGCUCCUUCUCUGUUCCGUCAUCACGGCGCCGCACUUUCCCAUUUCUGUGCAAGUCUGGUGACUUUCCUAUUGGGUGCUGGCAUUACACGUCUCAUCUCAGCCCUGGGGGUCCCCGUCCAGCCCUGUCGGAGGAGAGACUGGUGUCACCUCCUUCAGAUCAAAACAGUCUCCUUUCCUAAGAGGACCUGGGGCGGGAGCAACCUUAGAGGAUGCAGCCAGAUUCAAAUCCAGACUCCCCACCGACCUCGGGGCUGAGGGCCAGACAGGACGGAACGAGCAAACAAAACAGGAGCGAAGGGAGGAACCCCAGGCAGACGGCAUCGGUGAGAGCCAGAGUGGCCACAGGACAGUCGGCAGGGGAUGAGGCGACGUGCCCACCUGGGGAGAACCCUCCAGGUCCGCAUUUCAAAUUUCGCAUGAGACAAAGGCAAAAACAGUGUUCAUCACAAACCAGUGUGAUGCAGUAAGUAGAUACCGAAACUUUUGCCUUUGUCCCGAACGCGUAAGAAACACAGAAUGUGAAGUUUACCUAGACAGGCACUGAUAAGCUGUGCUCAUCACUUAUGACGUCGGAGCAAAUGGUGCUGAAUUUCUGCCGACUCGGGGGGCACAGGAGCCCAGGCCCGGCCCCGCCUCUAACCGGCGUGUGAUCUCCAACCGCUCACGCUCUCUUGGCCUCAUUUCUUACUUCUAAAAUGGAAAGUACUCCAGCCCAGAAGGUUGUGAAGUUCAACUGUAACAGUGCCAAAAUAAGAACAACCGGGUAAUCACACUCCACCAGCUCUGACGACAAGCCCCUCUCUGCUAGGGCCUCUCUGACAAGGCCAGCCCCCUGCCCGGCCUGGCCGGGUCUGCCCACUUCCCUACCAGCCGGUUCCUGGACAUCCCUGAUCCCAGGCUCCCCAAGAUGGGAGCCUAAAGCUCAGGAUGCGGCUGGGCGGGUCCCCUUGGUUCCAAUGUGCUGGGCCUUGCUGCCCUCUUGUGGCCAGCAGUGGAAUCAUCACACGUUGACAAAUCGUUGACCAUCGGGAGUUGGCUCUGACCCGGUGGAGAAGGGCGACGGGUCCACAACAGGGGCGGGAAGGGAGGUUUUCCCAUUUGCAUCCGAGGAGCUCCAUCCCAGCCCAGACCUGCAACAUAACAUAGGCAAGGGGAGGGGCAGAUGCUACGCGUCUUUGAUGUGGGAAAGAGAGAGGGCGGGGGAGCUGGAAGAACAAGGGAGUGGAGCAGGUGGUGGAGGGGAGGCGGCCCCGGGUGAGUCGGAAAGGUGGGCAGAGGUUGCACAGAAUGGCCCUUGGGUUUUGCCGGGAGGUGCGGUGGGCAGAGUGUCCACAUCCCAUUGCCUUUGAGGGUUCCUCCUGGGAGCGGUGCUUCCCAGAGGUUGGAAGGGGCCGAGAGUGGAAUUGUGGGAGCCAGAGGGAAGCCUUGUCCCUCCCCUACAUUAUUACAGAGGAGGGUGCCCGGGGCACCGACGGGAGUGGCGCGGCGGAAGUGGUUGGUGUCUCACUGUGUUUUGGAAGUAGAACCUGCGCUGUUCACGGAGCGUGUGGAGACAGGAAAAUGCAAACGGACGAUGGCCAGGCCACGGGUCAGGACAGAACCCACGACCUGCGGCAGCCGGCCAGCACGCCAAACAAGCGCUCCUGUAGCCGCCGGCCCCAAAGGUCGGACUCGAUCAAUACCUGGCAGCCUCCCGCGUUGCUGUGCUGCUCCCUGCUCAGGACCGUCCAGGGAGAGCCGAAUACGCCCCCCCCCAACUGGCCACGUGGUGAGGUCCCACCUCCAACCGGUCCCACUUCCAGCUGACCCACCUGGAGCUUCGCCAGGCCCCUGCCUCCCGCCAGGGGCCCCUGAAGCCCUGUUUCUCUCCCUAGGAAGCUUCCCCUUCCCCCGCCUGAGUCUGUCCAGGCGCAGGCGAGGGCGGGCCACUCCCUCGCUCUAGCAGGGGCCGACAGAGAGCCUCUGCCUGUCCUCACUGGGUGGUCUCGGUCAGCCCCGCAGGCGUGAGAGACGGGGAGGGACACUGACUGAGGUGGCGAAGGCUGAGGAAGGCGAGGUUCGGGGGAAACCAUGCACCUGCUGCGGGUUUUCGAGUCAGAGGGGCCUGUGAAAGUGCCGUGCGGAGCCCCCUGUCGGGGGAAGAGUUGGCUCCAACGUUUCGGAGGUCAGGGGAGAGGUCUGGACAGAAGGAAGGAAUCUGGGGGUCAAAAAUACGACAGUACGAGAGAAGGUACAACGUUCGCUGAGACAGUGCACAAGUGGAAGGGUGCUGGACGCCCAUCCACCGGGAAACACUGGUUGUGUUGUGGGGGGAGAGGGAGACGGCGGGGCCCGGUGCAGCUGGCGGAGAACGAGGUGCAAUCUGCAGCGGCCCGGAAACGCCCCCAGGGCACCUUCGUUCAGUGGAAAGAAGGAGUGUUUUUGGGAGGUUCUCGCCCCACUGUUCCGGAAGUGCCUCCUCCCGUCCAUUCAACCUUCACUGCGUUCUCAUGAGAUCGGUUAUUCCAGUCCUUGUUAUCACCGAGGAAGCGGAUGCUCAGGGAGCCUGGGUGACCUGCCGACGGACACCUACCUGGAAUGUGCCCGUGGGAGGGUCGCUCCUCUCUGGAUGCCGCACAGAGGAAGAAUAUCCGAGGAAUGUCUUAAGUGCGUACCGACAAUGGCUCUGCUCCAGCGUGAAAAGGAGGAGGGGAAGCUCUUGCCUGGGACUCGCCUCAGGCCUGUCACCUGGAGCAAUUCUGAAGCGAUGACAGAAACUCCCGAGCAUUCUUCCGCACCGCAUGCCACCAGGAAUGUCCUCACGGUGAACUGGGACACAGGGCGCCCGACUGAGUCACACACACGUCAAGCUCCCUGGCACACAUCCAGCAUCCUCUCCGACAACGUUGUCUGUGGUUCCCGAUAAAACUGAGAUAAUAGAGCAGGGAGACAAAAGUGGGUGGGCAGAAGCCCUCAGCUCCGGCCCUUGGCAGCCACCACAAACGGAGGCCCAGAGUUCAAGGCUUUGGGCACCAAGUUCCCGUUAUCCCAGGUAAUGGGAACACAGAGUGAGCAACACAGACCAAAGCCUCCCUUCGUGGAGCUUGUGUUCUAGUUGGAAGGGGACAUUCCAUGGGCUAUUGGAAGGUGUGACAAGAGCUAUAUAGACAAUAAAGCAGGGAAAGGGAUAGGAAAUCGAGAGAGCAUGGUGGUUACCAUUUUUAACGGGGUUAUCAGAUGUCCCUGCCAAUUCUCUUCUAACCCAGAAAUGUACGUGAAGGUGAGGGAAGCCUGACAACAGGUUCAUGCCCUUGGAAUUCACCUCCUAAUCACGCGCCCUGUUACUCAGAUGGGCAGUAGAAUAGCCUACCGAAGACUCAGUUAGGGCAUCAGCUGAGACACCACAGCCUGGGAGGUCGGGGCGCCUUUCUGUAACACAGGCAGUGCACGCCUGCCAACUGGGAACGGCAGUGUUACAUCCGACAGUCCACUUAAGAAAUGUCUUUCCAUCCACAUAACCGUAGCUGAGACUCUAGCACCCGAAGAGUUCCCAAGGAACAGAGUCAUAGUUCCGGUGCCUUGAAACUCAGUCUACCCUGGGGCUAUUUUGAGCUUUCAUUUGUUGAACCCUUGGAGUGAGAAGGAGUUACUAACCUAGAUGGAGUAAUCCAUUCAGAUGAACCAGAGGAAAUUGGGUGGCUUUUCAAAAUAAAGUCAAGGAGUGUGUUUAGAACCCAGGGGAUUCAGUCGGGCACUGCUUUAUGUGUCUUUGCUCCAUAAUAACAGUCCAUAGAAAAUGUGCUGCCCUGGCUGGUGUGGCUCAGUGGAUUGAGUGUCCGCCUGCGAACCGAAAGGUCAUGGGUUCAAUUCCCG